rnacentral:lncRNA from 1 species
GUACAAACACUUAAGCUUUUAUUUGCUCCUUUUCUUAUACUCUUGUUUUAGAGUGUUGUGAGGUUUGAUCAGAUAAUAGCUUUGGAGAGUGUGGGUGUACUGGGGUUGUGGGGUAGUUGAGAGAAAUAUCUGUGUGUUGUAACAAUUUUCACAUAGUGUUUAUUCUCUGGUUGUUGGUUUUGACAACAGCCGUAGUUUUUUCUCCGAUUUUGGAGUUUCCACGUUAAAUCAUUGUGUUGUGAUUGUGUCAUUGUUUCUAUUUCUCUAUGGCAAUUUCCUAACAACUGGUAUCAAGAGCCAUUGGUUCGGUGGGACUAUUCUUAGUAUGCUUUGUGGGUACAGUGUUGUGUGAUACUGUGAAAAUUUACAGUUCGCACGCAGCCACAAUGUCAAGUUAUUCAAAUGCUGUGAAGAGUGACAUAGAAAAGUUUGAUGGAAGAAUCAAUUUUGGCUUGUGGAAAAUACAAGUCAAUGAUGUGUUGAUACAAGCAGGAUUUCACAAGGCGUUGAAAGGAAACACUUCCAACAUGGAGAAUGAGAAGUGGGAGGAACUAGAUCUGAGAGCCGCAAGUGCAAUCCGCCUAUGUUUGGCUAAGAAUAUUCUUGCAAAUGUGCAGAGUAUUUCCUCAGCCAAAGAACUUUGGGAGAAACUCGAAGGAUUAUAUCAGGCAAAAGGCACUUCAAACCGAUUGCUGCUGAAAGAACAGUUCCACAAUUUACGCAUGGAGAAUAAUAUGAAAGUCUCUGAUCAUCUUAGUGCUCUCAAUGAAACUGUCUCCGAAUUAGAAGCUAUUGGAGUCGAUAUUGAUGAUGAAGAUAAAGCACUGAGACUCAUAUGGUCUCUUCCAUCUUCCUAUGAGCAUAUCAAACCUGUUUUGAUAUAUGGGAAGGAAACUUUGAGCUUUGAAGAUGUUGUCAGCAAAAUUAUUUCUGAGGAAAGAAGAAUGAAAAGUGAGGACAACACUUCAUCAAGCUCGGCGCUAAUAGCCAGAGGUGGGCCUUAUGGUAAGAAGAAUCAGGGAAGGAAUAUUACAUGCUGGAAAUGUGGAAGGUCUGGGCAUGUAAAGAAAAAUUGUCCAGGUGCAGCAACAUCAGAAAGGGGCUCUGAGGAAAAUGUUAGCAAUAUCUCCCUCAUUUUGGGAGAGGAUGAUGCUCUCUAAAAUGACAAGUGUAUCCUCUUGGCAUUACCGCAUUGCCAUGGAAAAGGAUAAGCUAUUGCUAGUGGAUUCAGAAAUGCACACGGGCAUUGGUUGACAUUGAUGCAAGGUGUGUGGUGCGGCUAUGUUGGUUGCUGAUGAACUUCCGGAGAAAGUCAACAUGGAAGUUGCACCAUAACUUUUCAGCAUGGUUUCGACAUGAAGAAAUUCUUGGAAUGGUUUAGUUCCAAGUGAGGUAUACUCUUUAUGGUGGAGUAUGAUAGUUCUUUUGAACUAUGAUUGUCGGGGUAGACAAUGGAAGUUAUGAUUGUCGGUAUAGACAAUGAUUGUCGAUAAAGACAAUGGAAGCGGAAGAUGCAUGUUGAGUGGGAGCACAAUGUGAAGUGAGAGAUUGUCAAACAUGAAUGUUGCAUGAUUGAGGUGUGAAGACCGACUGAAGUCAAUCUUCAAGUGGGAGAUUGUAAGUGAAAAUCACUAUGCUACACUAUGCCACCCAUUAACAUUGCAGGAUUGGUAAGUCAAGGAAAUUAAAUACAUUGGCAUGGGUAAAAAAGGACGGUGCAGCACUUGUUGAAAAUGAUGGUAUGCAUACACACAUAAUGCAUAUGCAUUGGCUUGGCAUCAGCUCCUAUAAAUACCAUAGCAACCCGUAGGAGAAAUGCAUCCCAACAAACUGAAGUAUCUCAUAGUACAAACACUUAAGCUUUUAUUUGCUCCUUUUCUUAUACUCUUGUUUUAGAGUGUUGUGAGGUUUGAUCAGAUAAUAGCUUUGGAGAGUGUGGGUGUAUUGGGGUUGUGGGGUAGUUGAGAGAAAUAUCUGUGUGUUGUAACAAUUUUCACAUAGUGUUUAUUCUCUGGUUGUUGGUUUUGACAACGGCCGUAGUUUUUUCUCCGAUUUUGGAGUUUCCACGUUAAAUCAUUGUGUUGUGAUUGUGUCAUUGUUUCUAUUUCUCUAUGGCAAUUUCCUAACACGGAUCUUAUUUUAAGGUCCCAAAAUAAGGACUCCAUUGGAGAUGCUCUAAGAAGUAAAGGGGUGAGUUUAUAGACCUAAACCAUUUUUGGACAAGCCACUGGCGUGAAUGUGUGCAGACACAUAUUAUUGGGUUUCAGGUGUGCUUAAAACUGCAUGACACUGUGAAUAACAUAUAUAAUACUAGUAGCUAUUGUAGGUGUGUUAAUUAGCUAGCUACUCACCUACGACUAGCACCUAUAUAUACUAUCCAGGACAGAAUACAGACAGAUUGAGAUUGUUGAUAAAAAGCCACUCAGAACAGCUAGAUCUCAUCCUAUUAUAUUUCAAUAACUUCGUUUUUUGUGCUUUCGUACUUGUUAGUU